rnacentral:rRNA from 1 species
UAAACGACUCUCAGCAAUGGAUAUCUCGGCUCUCGCAUCGAUGAAGAGCGUAGCAAAAUGCGAUACUUGGUGUGAAUUGCAAAAUCUCGUGAACCAUCGAGUCUUUGAACGCAAGUUGCGCCCGAAGCCAUUAGGUUGAGGGCACGUCUGCCUGGGCGUCUCAC